rnacentral:snoRNA from 1 species
CUGCGAAUAUUCUCGCUGUUCUGAUUUUGUAAUAAUCAGGACAGGCUAAACAUUCGCUAUAUUAAGACCAUGCAUGUGUCCCCAGAUCUAGUUCUUUCCCUGGGUCUGGUUUUAUAAAUGCUGGUGAUAAAC